rnacentral:rRNA from 1 species
CGUGUUGUGAAAGAAAGGUUCUUCGGAUUGUAAAGCACUUUAAGUUGGGAGGAAGGGCAGUUACUUAAUACGUGGAUUGUCUUGACGUUACCGACAGAAUAAGCACCGGCUAACUCUGUGCCAGCAGCCGCGGUAAUACAGAGGGUGCAAGCCGUUAAUCGGAAUUACUGGGCGUAAAGCGCGCGUAGGUGGUUUGUUAAGUUGAAUGUGAAAUCCCCGGGCUCAACCUGGGAACUGCAUCCAAAACUGGCAAGCUAGAGUAUGGUAGAGGGUAGUGGAAUUUCCUGUGUAGCGGUGAAAUGCGUAGAUAUAGGAAGGAACACCAGUGGCGAAGGCGACUACCUGGACUGAUACUGACACUGAGGUGCGAAAGCGUGGGGAGCAAACAGGAUUAGAUACCCUUGGUAGUCCACGCCGUAAACGAUGUCAACUAGCCGUUGGAAGUCUUGAACUCUUAGUGGGCGCAGCUAACGCAUU